AUUGUGUAAAAUAGUAUACAAAAGAAAAAGAGAGAUGGAUUUUUUUUAACAUAUAUGAUAAGAAAACCAAAACGAGAUAAUACAGCUUACUAUGAGAAUCAAUCUUUAAAACCAUACAUGUAACAAUAUACUAUAUAUUAUAUAGGUGUGAUACAUGUAUCAAUAUAAAAUGACUGGCAGAGUAUGUGAAUAUGUUUGCAACCACCUCUUCCCCAAUUAACUCACCUAUACCUCCACCAAUCUCAUUUCACUGUGCGUUAUUAAUAAAACAGUCAGAUGCCUCAUCAGUUUGUGGUAUCCUAACUUAUCAAG
rnacentral:lncRNA from 1 species